rnacentral:tRNA from 1 species
CACAAUGUAGCUUAAAAAAAGCCCCUCCCUUACAAGAAGAAGAAGUUUAUGAGAAUUAAACCGUCGUGA